UACGUAGGUCGCAAGCGUUGUCCGGAUUUACUGGGCGUAAAGAGCGCGCAGGCGGCUGGUCAAGUCCGAUGUGAAAUCUCCCGGCUCAACUGGGAAACUGCAUCGGAAACUGAUCGGCUUGAAGAUGGGAGAGGGUAGUGGAAUUCCCGGUGUAGUGGUGAAAUGCGUAGAUAUCGGGAGGAACACCAGUGGCGAAGGCGGCUCACUGGACCGGUAUUGACGCUGAGGUGCGAAAGCGUGGGGAGCAAACAGG
rnacentral:rRNA from 1 species